CCUACGGGUGACAGCAGUGAGGAAUAUUGGUCAAUGGACGAGAGUCUGAACCAGCCAAGUAGCGUGAAGGAUGACGGCCCUAUGGGUUGUAAACUUCGUUUAUAGGGGAAUAAAAUGUGCCACGUGUGGGAUUUUGUAUGUACCAUAUGAAUAAGGAUCGGCUAACUCCGUGCCAGCAGCCGCGGUAAUACGGAGGAUCCGAGCGUUAUCCGGAUUUAUUGGGUUUAAAGGGGUCGUAGGUGGCUUGUUAAGUCAGUUGUGAAAGUUUGCGGCUCAACCGUAAAAUUGCAGUUGAAACUGGCAGUCUGGAGUACAGUAGAGGUGGGCGGAAUUCGUGUUGUAGCGGUGAAAUGCUUAGAUAUCACGCAGAACUCCGAUUGCGAAGGCAGCUCACUGGACUGCAACUGACACUGAGGCUCGAAAGUGUGGGUAUCAAACAGGAUUAGAUACCCUUGUAGUC
rnacentral:rRNA from 1 species